rnacentral:rRNA from 1 species
AGUUCGGAUCGGAGUCUGCAACCCGACUCCGUGAAGCUGGAUUCGCUAGUAAUCGCGCAUCAGCCAUGGCGCGGUGAAUACGUUCCCGGGCCUUGUACACACCGCCCGUCAAGCCAUGGAAGCCGGGGGUGCCUGAAGUGUGCAGCCGCAAGGAGCGCCCUAAGGUAAAACCGGUGACUGGGGCUAAGUCGUAACAAGGUACC